GUCGCUACUACCGAUUGAAUGGCUCAGUGAGGCCUUCGAACCGGCUUAGGGAGGUUGGCAACGACCACCUUGAGCCGGAAAGUUCGUCAAACUCGGUCAUUUAGAGGAAGUAAAAGUCGUAACAAGGUUUCC
rnacentral:rRNA from 1 species